CGCUUCUUCCAAAUUCAAGCUGUUGACAACAGCGUCAACUGCUUAGCCAGUUACGCCUGACGACCAUAGCAAGGUGGCCCCACUCCUUCCCAUCCCGAACAGGACAGUGAAACGCCUUCGCGCCGAUGAUAGUUGGUUUACGCCUGUGAAAGUAGGUCAUCGUCAGGCUUUUAUCCCUCAAAACCCCACAAGCUACCGCUUGUGGGGUUUUGUUUUU
rnacentral:rRNA from 1 species